UGCUGAAACUCAUGCUUGAGAGCGCAAUCUCAAUCUCUGUGUGUGUGUGUGUGUUAGUCAAACAGAUUUGGUAACAAACAGCAGCAGGUGGACUUUGCCUGCUGUGAUCAGUCAGCGAUCCCUUUAUUGAAACCUGGCAGAGUGUGUUAGUUCAGUUUAGCUCUCAGGAGGAGAGGAAGAUGAAUGCCAACAAGAUGUGUUCCUUUUUUGUUAUUGGGGUGGUGCUGUGUGGAACCAGUUUGGCCACAAGGGAACAGGGACAGCUGAGAGAUCUCUUGUUCAGCCCGAUUGUUUUUAACGAAGUGUUGGUGAACCAGGGCUCUGCCUACAACAACAUCACCGGUGUGUUCACUGCGCCGCUCGCUGGCAUCUACCAGUUUGUUUUUGUUGCCCAGCUGUGCCGCGGUCACCACAACAACAGAUGGUACUUUAUGGUCAAUGGGGUCCAAAAUCUGCUCUGCCACGCUCAGGUGGCUGAUGGUCAAACAACCCUCAACACUUGUUACUUCAUGAAGGAACUGAAGAAAGGUGACCAGGUGUGGGUGAAACAAAGCGCUGAGAGCUGCUCCUGGGCCAGCACUACCUCCAAGACAAUCACCUUCUCUGGCAUCCUGCUGGCGACUGAGAGCGUGUCCAUGCUGGGGGGGAAGUAUGGCAGCUCCUGUCCGCUGCCCAGCAGGAACCUGGUGUCCAGCUCUGCAGGCCGGACCGUCGCUCUGUCCGGUGUGGUCGUCACCCUGCAGCUCAGCCGCUUCCUCUGGGAUUAAUCAAAGCAGAGAUACCUAGCUUAGCUGUUUAUGCUUCUAUUUCAGUCUAUUGUAUUUAAGAUUUCUAAAGGUUCUAAAGUUUGUUUUCUUUUUAAAUGUAUUUGGAUUUUUAAGACUCUACAUUUAUCUGCCAUUUUAACUUUUAAUGGACAAUCAGAUUUUUCAGUCAUCCCCAAACUGCAAAAAUAUACUUAUGAUUUUAGUUAGAGUCCCUCUCCGGUCGCUGAAUAAACCCUGAAAAACCCAUCUCUAUUUAUCUAAGUUACAUACUGAGAUGGUUUGUCUGUGAAAAUGAUCAGUUUUUGCAAUAAAAUGAC
ensembl:lncRNA